CCCUGUUUUUACAAAAACAUGUCUUUUUGAAUUAAAUUUAAAGUCUAACCUGCCCACUGAGUUUUUAAAUGGCCGCAGUAUCCUAACUGUGCAAAGGUAGCAUAAUCAUUAGUCUUUUAAUUGAAGGCUGGAAUGAAUGGUUGGACGAAAUAUUAACUGUUUCAUUUUAAUUUUUUAUAGAAUUUUAUUUUUUAGUCAAAAAGCUAAAAUUUAUUUAAAAGACGAGAAGACCCUAUAAAUCUUUAUAUUUUGUUUAUUUUAAUUAUAAAGAUUAAUUUUAUUAUAAUAAAUAAAAAUAUUUUAUUGGGGUGAUAUUAAAAUUUAAAAAACUUUUAAUUUUUUUAAACCAUUAAUUUAUGAAUAAUUGAUCCAUUUUUAAUGAUUAAAAAUUUAAGUUACUUUAGGGAUAACAGCGUAAUUUUUUUGGAGAGUUCAUAUCGAUAAAAAAGAUUGCGACCUCGAUGUUGGAUUAAGAUAUAAUUUUGGGUGUAGCCGUUCAAAUUUUAAGUCUGUUCGACUUUUAAAUUCUUACGUGAUCUGAGUUCCAACCCGGA
rnacentral:rRNA from 1 species